rnacentral:tRNA from 1 species
UGGGCUGUAGCUCAGUAGUAGAGCGCUUCCUUAGCAUGUCCAAAGCCCUGGGUUUAAUUCCCAGCACUUUAA